UACGGGGGGGGCAAGCGUUGUUCGGAAUUACUGGGCGUAAAGGGCUCGUAGGUGGCCAACUAAGUCAGACGUGAAAUCCCUCGGCUUAACCGGGGGAACUGCGUCUGAUACUGGAUGGCUUGAGUUUGGGAGAGGGACGCGGAAUUCCAGGUGUAGCGGUGAAAUGCGUAGAUAUCUGGAGGAACACCGGUGGCGAAGGCGGCGUCCUGGACCAACACUGACACUGAGGAGCGAAAGCCAGGGAGCAACAAGG
rnacentral:rRNA from 1 species